rnacentral:rRNA from 1 species
AGAGUUUGAUCAUGGCUCAGGAUGAACGCUGGCGGCGUGCCUAACACAUGCAAGUCGCACGGUAGCCUUGGAUUCGUCUAGGGUGAGAGUGGCAAACGGGUGAGUAACACGUAGGUGACCUACCCCAAAGAGGGGAAUAACUGCUGGAAACGGUAGCUAAUACCCCAUAUGCCUGGUGAUUCGCUUCACCAGGUAAAGCCGAAAGGCGCUUUGGGAUGGACCUGCGGCCCAUCAGGUAGUUGGUAGGGUAACGGCCUACCAAGCCUAUGACGGGUAGGGGGUGUGAGAGCGCGGCCCCCCACACUGGCACUGCGACACGGGCCAGACUCCUACGGGAGGCAGCAGUGAGGAAUAUUGAGCAAUGGGCGAAAGCCUGACUCAGCAACGCCGCGUGGGCGAUGAAGGCCUUCGGGUUGUAAAGCCCUUUUCCAGGGGACGAGGAAGGACGGUACCCUGGGAAUAAGGUUCGGCUAACUACGUGCCAGCAGCCGCGGUAAUACGUAGGAACCGAGCGUUAUCCGGAUUCACUGGGCGUAAAGCGCGUGUAGGCGGUUCUAUAAGUCGGGCGUGAAAGCUCUUGGCUUAACUGAGAGAGGUCGUCCGAUACUAUAGGGCUUGAGGUCGGGAGAGGGACGUGGAAUUCCCGGUGUAGUGGUGGAAUGCGUAGAGAUCGGGAGGAACAUCAGUGGCGAAGGCGACGUCCUGGCCCGCACCUGACGCUCAGACGCGAAAGCGUGGGUAGCGAACGGGAUUAGAUACCCCGGUAGUCCACGCUGUAAACGGUGGAUACUAGGUGUUGGUGGCUAUCGUCAUCAGUGCCGUAGCAAACGCGUUAAGUAUCCCGCCUGGGGACUACGGCCGCAAGGCUAAAACUUAAAUGAAUUGACGG